rnacentral:rRNA from 1 species
CCCUACUCCUACGGGAGGCAGCAGUGGGGAAUAUUGGACAAUGGGCGAAAGCCUGAUCCAGCCAUGCCGCGUGUGUGAAGAAGGUCUUCGGAUUGUAAAGCACUUUAAGUUGGGAGGAAGGGCAGUUGCUCUAAUACGUAUACUGAUGACGUACCGUA